rnacentral:rRNA from 1 species
GGAUGCGAUCAUACCAGCACUAAUGCACAGGAUCCCAUCAGAACUCCGAAGUUAAGCGUGCUUGGGCGAGAGUAGUACUAGGAUGGGUGACCCCUGGGAAGUCCUCGUGUUGCAUCCC